CGCUUUUUUUGCCCAGGCGGAGCUCGACCGCCGAUUGAAGUAAUCCGACGGUUUAUUGACGAGCAUCGGGAAACUUACGGGGUCGAGCCACUUUGCAAGGUCUUGCAGAUUGCCCCG
rfam:Pusillimonas sp. T7-7, complete genome.